rnacentral:tRNA from 1 species
UGUCCGUGUAGCUCAGGGGAUAGAGCGGAUGUUUCCUAAACAUCAGGUCGUUGGUUCGACUCCAAUCACGGAUAU